rnacentral:misc_RNA from 1 species
AAGUCGUAACAAGGUUUCCGUAGGUGAACCUGCGGAAGGAUCAUUAACACGUAUCCAAACGUAAAAAACCCCCCCCGUGAACAUUCAAUCCUGCUCUUGUAACCCGCGGAGUUCGCAAUCUCUGGCAUUGUUUCCCCAAGCAGUCAGUGUCUGAAAGUGUCACCGAAUGUGCAAGGAUAGCGCUUCAACGAUUCCUGUAGACCGUACACUCGGGCAGGAGCUAUGCCAAAGGGUCCCCCACAGUUUAAUGUGAAGCUCAAUGUAAUACAUUGGGUAAAAAAACCGAACAACUGUUAACAAUGGAUAUCUUGGUUCUC